AACGCUAGCUACAGGCUUAACACAUGCAAGUCGAGGGGCAGCAUGAACUUAGCUUGCUAAGUUUGAUGGCGACCGGCGCACGGGUGAGUAACACGUAUCCAACCUGCCGAUGACUCGGGGAUAGCCUUUCGAAAGAAAGAUUAAUACCCGAUGGCAUAGUUCUUCCGCAUGGUAGAACUAUUAAAGAAUUUCGGUCAUCGAUGGGGAUGCGUCUGAUUAGCUUGUUGGCGGGGUAACGGCCCACCAAGGCGACGAUCAGUAGGGGUUCUGAGAGGAAGAUCCCCCACAUUGGAACUGAGACACGGUCCAAACUCCUACGGGAGGCAGCAGUGAGGAAUAUUGGUCAAUGGGCGCGAGCCUGAACCAGCCAAGUAGCGUGCAGGAUGACGGCCCUAUGGGUUGUAAACUGCUUUUUCGCGGGGGUAAAGUUCGCCACGUGUGGCGUUUUGCAAGUACCGCGUGAAUAAGGACCGGCUAAUUCCGUGCCAGCAGCCGCGGUAAUACGGAAGGUCCGAGCGUUAUCCGGAAUCAUUGGGUUUAAAGGGAGCGUAGGCGGGACGUCAAGUCAGCUGUGAAAACCCCGGGCUCAACCCGUGGCGUGCAGUUGAAACUGUCGUUCUUGAGUGCACAUAAGGAAGGUGGAAUUCGUGGUGUAGCGGUGAAAUGCUUAGAUAUCACGAAGAACUCCGAUUG
rnacentral:rRNA from 1 species